rnacentral:rRNA from 1 species
CCUACGGGUGGCAGCAGUGAGGAAUAUUGGUCAAUGGACGAGAGUCUGAACCAGCCAAGUAGCGUGAAGGAUGACUGCCCUAUGGGUUGUAAACUUCUUUUAUAUGGGAAUAAAAUGUUCCACGUGUGGGAUUUUGUAUGUACCAUAUGAAUAAGGAUCGGCUAACUCCGUGCCAGCAGCCGCGGUAAUACGGAGGAUCCGAGCGUUAUCCGGAUUUAUUGGGGUUAAAGUGAGGGUAGAUGGGUUGUUAAGUCAGUUGUGAAAGUUUGCGGCUCAAACGUAAAAUUUGAGUUGAUACUGUCAGCCUUUAGUACAGUUGAGGUAGGAGGAAGUCGUGGUGUAGCGGUGAAAUGCUUAGGU